AUAUUACAGCUCAUGUGCUGUAUGUUUGGCAGUAAAUGACUGAUUUCUCAGCAGCCCUUGGUUACAGAAGCAUUGCCAUGUAUGUGAUUCUCACCCAUGAGUCACAUUUUAUCAAGAGACCUCUCUAUAUAGCAUGAGCAUGAUGCCUCAGAAGGUUGGACAGACAAGUAAUAUAUGGAAUGUCACUGACAGCACCAUCAUGUCCAUUUGGAUGUUUUGCCCAGUAAAUGUAAUUACAAUCAAUAUAAUAUUAAUGGACUGCUUUGGGCUCAAGUCAUUUUGUAAUUAAUGUUUUUUUAUUUUGUUUGUCAUCCUUUGUAUUGGAAAUCAUAUACCAAUGUUAGAGUGAAAUGGGCACCACUGACCAGACCUGCAUCCAGCAGAAGCCACUGAGAUGCACAAAUAAGGGACAGCACUCAGUUUAGUAUUUAGUAUCCAAACAUGCAAUGGUAUAUAAAUACCCCAUUUUCACUUUCAUAUAUAUGCACCCUGGAUGUUUAUGGGUGAUAACUAAGACUAACUGGUGUGUGAAGAUCACAUUUGUCCACAAAUGUGACGCAGUGUCUGAUAACAUACCAAGCUUUACCUGAAAACAUCCUCAACACCAAAAAUAACAGACACAAGAGCAGGUUUUGGGUCUAUCUCCUAACCAAAAGACUGAGCGUUCAAGCCCAGUGAAGGACACAAGGCAGGUUAGUACACUUGCAGUGUGCCCUGUGCAAGUGUCUUACUGGAAAUAAAAUUGGAUCAUGACCCAGUAGACUAAAAAUUACUGAUUGGAGGCAAUAAGACUCGAUUGGGACAUCCCUACUUUAGAGGGGAAACACUGUGAGUUAGAACUUCACCUAACUGGUCAGGAUAGAUCAGCUCAUGAUGUAGGCUGCUCACUGUGUGAACACAAAAUUAGCAAAUGAAAUGCUAACAAACUGUCAUUGCCAUGUUAAGAAGUCAGCCUUUAAUGGUACCCAUGGAUAAACUCCAUGGAACCAAAAUGCCCACCGACUUCAGAUUCAUUUAGCUUUCUUCCAUCAGCUGGCACUGCCAUCCACAUCCUCAUUCAGUUUUAGCGGAUG